UACGAAGGGGGCUAGCUUUGUUCGGAAUCACUGGGCGUAAAGGGCGCGUAGGCGGCCGCUCAAGUCGGGGGUGAAAGCCUGUGGCUUAACCACAGAAUUGCCUUCGAUACUGUUUGGCUUGAGACCGGAAGAGGUGAGUGGAACUGCGAGUGUAGAGGUGAAAUUCGUAGAUAUUCGCAAGAACACCAGUGGCGAAGGCGGCUCACUGGUCCGGUUCUGACGCUGAGGCGCGAAAGCGUGGGGAGCAAACAGG
rnacentral:rRNA from 1 species